GCUCAUCUCUCCCCACCUGCUCACGCCUGGAAGAAUGCUUAGGACAUGGGGAAAAUGUCUAAUGUGGAGCCCACCUGCUGAGAAAGGACCAGGUGUGAAGGAAGAAGCCUUGUUCUGAUUCCUGAUGGCCCAGCCACCCGUCGCCAGAGCUGAGCCUGGCCGCAGGGCCCGCCUGCAGGAAGGGCUGGCCCCUGGCUUCACACUGCACUCAGACCCAGGAGCGGUGUGCAUAAAAGGCUUUUGGGGAAGGGGAGAAGUGCCACUCAGUGACUUGCACAGGAAAUUGGAAAUUGGAUCCACAGGUCUGCCCCCACUCCUCUGACUCAUGCUUAAACAAACCCAACAAACGCCCUGACCUUUGCUCUCUUCCUCUGUUGCAGGCCAUACCUGCCAGCAGCCCACUCUCCCGGCCAUGCCGAGGGCUUACAAAAGUCCAGCAUUUGGUAGCUUCCUGGGGGAAUGAAUCCUUCAAACUCAUGCUAUGCAUGCAGCCUAUGAUUUUUUUUUUUUUUUUUUUUUUGACAAUGUGAUCCAUUAUAUUCAUCAACACACAGAGAUGGAACAUUUGGCAAAAUUAUUUUAAGUAGCACUCCAACCUGUGAUCGUAAUUUCAAAUCAAGGAAUUUGCUGAGCAGCUGUGGGGAAGAACAAAGGGCCCAAGAGUGAUUUAGGGCCUGGGGGAGGGGAGGCGGUGGAGCUGAAGGCCCCAGCCGGUAGGUAGCAGAAACAGCUGGGGAAGUAGGUUGUGUGCCCCCGCCCGGCCUUCUCAGCCCUGCCAUCCCGUCCACAUGUGCCUCAUCAGAGAGUUUUCAUCUGCUGAACGCACCACAUGCAGUGCUUCAAAACAGAUAAAAUGAGCAGAGGAUUCAGAUUCAGUUUAAUACCGUCGCUGAGAGCUUCAGCUUAGGAGUUGGACGGGCCUGGCCUUGAAUCCUGGCUCAGCUACUCACCGGCCUCAGUGGCAUCAUCUGUAAAAUGGGGCUAAUGUAGCAAUCACUUCAUAGUGAUUACUAUGAGGAUGAGUGUUUAUUUGACCCAGUCGCUGGCAUAGAACAGGUGUUCCAAACGCAGUUAUCACCAAUACGCAGAAACGUUCAACUGAUACACUUGGUUUUUGCAACCAAUUAAUUCAGUGAACAUCUAUGAGUACCCGUUAUAUGUCAGGUGCAGGGCUGGGUGUUGUAUGGGUACAAAUGUGUAAAGAUAGGAAUUAAUAUGCUAUUAGAUAAAAAAUACUUCUAU